UCUGUUCUGGUAUCACAGUGAUUUCUAGUAAAACCAGUACCAGGUACCAAUAUUGAUGUUAUAACUCAGUCUCAUUGCUCUGUUCCUGGUAUCACAGUGAUUUCUAG